CCUACGGGAGGCUGCAGUAGGGAAUCUUCCACAAUGAGCGAAAGCCUGAUGGAGCAACGCCGCGUGGGUGAAGAAGGUCUUCGGAUCGUACAACCCUGUUGUUAGAGAAGAUCGUUCGUGAGAGUAACUGUUCACGUUUCGACGGUAUCUAACCAGAAAGCCACGGCUAACUACGUGCCAGCAGCCGCGGUAAUACGUAGGUGGCAAGCGUUAUCCGGAUUUAUUGGGCGUAAAGGGAACGCAGGCGGUCUUUUAAGUCUGAUGUGAAAGCCUUCGGCUUAACCGGAGUAGUGCAUUGGAUACUAGGAGACUAGAGUGAAGAAGAGGAGAGUGGAAGUCCAUGUGUAGCGGUGAAAUGCGUAGAUAUAUGGAAGAACACCAGUGGCGAAAGCGGCUCUCUGGUCUGUAACUGACGCUGAGGUUCGAAAGCGUGGGUAGCAAACAGGAUUAGAUACCCGUGUAGUC
rnacentral:rRNA from 1 species